CCUACGGGUGGCAGCAGUGAGGAAUAUUGGUCAAUGGGCUUACGCCUGAACCAGCCAAGUCGCGUGAGGGAAGACUGCCCUAUGGGUUGUAAACCUCUUUUGUCAGGGAGCAAUUGGCGCUACGUGUAGCGUUAUCGAUAGUCCCUGAAGAAAAAGCCUCGGCUAACUCCGUGCCAGCAGCCGCGGUAAUACGGAGGAUGCGAGCGUUAUCCGGAUUUAUUGGGUUUAAAGGGUGCGUAGGCGGAAUGCCAAGUCAGCGGUAAAAUCGCGGGGCUCAACCUCGCUCCGCCGUUGAAACUGGGAGACUUGAGUGCAGAAGAGGAGAGUGGAACUCCAUGUGUAGCGGUGAAAUGCGUAGAUAUAUGGAAGAACACCAGUGGCGAAAGCGGCUCUCUGGUCUGUAACUGACGCUGAGGUUCGAAAGCGUGGGUAGCAAACAGGAUUAGAUACCCCAGUAGUC
rnacentral:rRNA from 1 species